GGGUAGGUACCGAAGUGGUCAAACGGGACUGGCUGUAAACCAGUUGUCUUACGACUUCGGGGGUUCGAAUCCCUCCCUGCCCACCA
rnacentral:tRNA from 1 species